rnacentral:rRNA from 1 species
CUUUACUGUAGCCUGGUAUUGGGUUCGGGCUUUGACUGCGCAGGAUAGGUGGGAGACUAUGAAGCUGCCCUUGUGGGGGCAGUGGAGUCAUCAGUGAGAUACCACUCUGUCAAGGCUAGAAUUCUAACCGUCUGCCAUUAUCCGGCGACGGAACAGUAUCAGGUGGGCAGUUUGACUGGGGCGGUCGCCUCCUAAAUGGUAACGGAGGCGCGCAAAGGUUCCCUCAGGCUGGUUGGAAAUCAGCCGAAGAGUGUAAAGGCAGAAGGGAGCUUGACUGCAAGAGCAACAACUCAAGCAGGGACGAAAGUCGGCCUUAGUGAUCCGACGGCGCUGAGUGGAAGGGCCGUCGCUCAACGGUUAAAAGUUA